GCACAUUAUACAAUAUCAUAGCUUAGCAACCAAAUUCACCUAGCCAACAUCUUAGCAAAUCAUGUCUGACAUUCCCCUCUACCAACCUCAUUUCUUAACAUAAAUAAAUGUGUAUGCUUUACUUUGGGAGUAUCAAUCACAAGACACAUGGACUCUUACCCCAACAGGUAUCUGAGUAAACAGGUAGUCUUGUUCUGGUUUCUUUUACUCUAUAUCUCCCUUCUCUGAAUCCUUUUUAUCUCAAUUCCAAUGAACAAAGAUGAUGAUGCAGUCCAUCUUAUUCACCUUCUUUUCGAAUUUUUUUUUUUAUUAUAUAUAUUUUUUUCUUUUCUUGACAAAGUGUAGGUGAAUAGUGGGGUGAUCGGUAAUGUACCUACCCCUCGCUUCCAACAAUGUGUGAUCAUUCUAUUAGAGUAGAAUAAUGAGGUCAUCGGUAAUGUACCUACCCCUCUAAACCGUAAGAAAUCAUCUCAAUCUUUUAUUUUAUUUUAUUAGGAUGCCAAAGGGAGGAGAGAACGAAACCAAAAUCACUCAGACUUUUACCUUUCAGACCUGAAGGAGGAAUCCGAUCCAGUGUAUACCAAGCCCCAAGACAAGCAGUUAAGUCAAAUUAGGUUGGAGGUCAGCUUCGGUUCCUUCAAACAAUCUCAGCAAGUGUGAACAUAGUUGACAGGUUGAUCAACUUUAGUAUCUUUAGUACUUUCUGCAAUCAGUAAGUCUAGAUCAUCAUCCCCUUCUUGACUCAAUAAAAACAAAUUUUGAAAAUGUUUUAAAUAAGAUUCAUAAAAGUAGAUAAACGUUAGUAAUCCCCCAUACUUAAAUUACACUGUCCCCAGUGUAACA
rnacentral:lncRNA from 1 species